GCAAAUCUCUGUUCAGGUGUAGGCAUGGGCCGGUAUGAGAUUGUGACGGUAUGAUAACCUUCAGCAAAAAUACCACGGUUUCACGGUAUUGCAAUUAUAGCUCUAAAAUGUAUUAUUUUGAAAUGUUCGGGUAAAAAA